UACGGGGGGAGCAAGCGUUGUUCGGAUUUACUGGGCGUAAAGGGCGCGUAGGCGGUCGUGACAAGUCACUUGUGAAAUCUCCGGGCUUAACUCGGAAAGGUCAAGUGAUACUGUCGGACUAGAGUACAGAAGGGGCAACUGGAAUUCUCGGUGUAGCGGUGAAAUGCGUAGAUAUCGAGAGGAACACCUGCGGCGAAGGCGGGUUGCUGGGCUGAUACUGACGCUGAGGCGCGAAAGCGUGGGGAGCGAACAGG
rnacentral:rRNA from 1 species